GCGCAUAUGUGAACUGGUUCGGCGGCGAGUGACGCCGACGACAAUCAUGUCUGUCGCUGGCGCGCACUGUCGAGCGAGAAUUGCCACCCGUGUGAAUCAGCCUUUAGAUUUAAUAUUAGAGGGCUUUUUAAUAAAACUAAAAGGACAGGUGAAUGGGACACAAGUACCCUCAUCUAUUAUUAUAAAAUCAUUAGGAAGGCAAAAAGAUCUUCCUGGAAAAGAUAGUCAGGAAAUUGAGGAAAUACUUGAUGUAUCCAGACUAGUGAAGAUAAUAUCCAAAGGGAAUUAUUACAAAGUUAGUACUAUCAAGUUGUAGAUGGCAGAAUGAUUAGUACUUGCAAAGACUCUAAAAGAAUCCAAGUAAACUUUUCUAGGUCUGCUUGGAUUGAAGGAUCAUCUUUUUCACAGGAGCAGUCAGAUCUCAAUGGACAUAUUUAUCAUAUUAUGAGGGAGAAUUGAAACCUUAAGAGCACGAUGAAUUAAUCAAAUAUUAUACUGUCAAAUCUGUUGACAGCCCAUAUAAUAAUUGAAUAUCUUUAAGGCUUUCAAAUCUGUUGGGCCAGAUAGUAUUUUGCCAGUGUUUUUACAACAGGAUUUUGAUCUUGUUUUUUUUCUGUAUCUUCAAGGCCUAUCUAGUUUUUGUCUAUAUUCCAUGGCCCUGAAGACAAAUAGAUUUUUCUUACCUAAGUCUGAGCAUCGUUCUUAUACUGAGCUUAGUUCUAUUGUCUAAUCAAUCUGAUACCAUUCUUAUUGAAGAUGACAGACUCAC
rnacentral:lncRNA from 1 species